AUACGGAGGGUGCAAGCGUUAUUCGGAAUCACUGGGCGUAAAGGACGCGUAGGCGGGUUUGUAAGUCAGGUGUGAAAUCCUACAGCUUAACUGUAGAACUGCACUUGAAACUACAGACCUAGAGUAUGGGAGGGGCAGAUGGAAUUAGUGGUGUAGGGGUAAAAUCCGUAGAUAUCACUAGGAAUACCGAAAGCGAAGGCGAUCUGCUGGAACAUAACUGACGCUAAGGCGUGAAAGCGUGGGGAGCAAACAGGAUUAGAUACCCUUGUAGUCC
rnacentral:rRNA from 1 species